UUUACGCGUUAGACGCGCACCGUUACAGCGCGCAGGAGGAAUGCAUAACAGUACUGCGAGGAUGAAGAAGACGUGCCUUUAAUCGAUUUAUAGCUAUAGGAGAGUUCAUGUUUGGUGGAGAGAUAUGGGAUGCUUUACAGAAGGACGAUUUAUGGACUAUCAUUGGACUUUAAAUGAGACUGGAGAAUGGAGAACAUCGCUGCUCUGCCAAGAUGCAUCAACCACCCAAAUCCGAUGGGAAACCACGGCAUGCUGUCAUCUGUUCAGACGGAGUGACAUUUGUCUGGACCACCCAUUGGGCUCGGAGGAGAGAGAUUCCCUACACGCCGUCUCUUUGGAAUAUUAAUGGGCUUCUCCUGGGAAAACUGCCCACAGAAUAGGCCACUCCAUCGCUGUCUCUGUUUCCGCUCAGCUGUCCUGAGGGUACGUGAGGGUGUUCGGUGCAAUCCGGCCUGGAGAAACCUCAAGUACACCUCAAACUUUUGUUUUGAUGUUUCAUUAAGGACUCUUGGAAAUUGAGCAUUUCUUUUUUUCCCCCUAGAAUAUAUUACAGCUUUUAUUACACAAUAAAAAGCACAGGAACGAUUACA
ensembl:lncRNA